GCCGGGCAUUGUGGCGGGCGCCUGUAGUCCCAGCUACUCCUUGGGAGGCUGAGGCAGGAGAAUCGCUUAAGCCCAGAAGUUGGAGGUUGCUGUGAGCUGUAAUGCCACAGCACUCUACCCAGGGCAAUAAAGUGAGACUCUGUCUCUU
rnacentral:SRP_RNA from 1 species